rnacentral:rRNA from 1 species
GAACGUCGUGAGACAGUUCGGUCCCUAUCUACCGUAGGAUCUAAACAACUAGAAAUCAUUUUUAGUACGAGAGGACCAAAAUGGUUUGAUCAAUGGUGUACCAGUCGCUAAAAAAGCGUCGCUGGGUAGCUAAAUCAAAAAAAAUAAUUACUGAAAGCAUAUAAGUAAGAAAUUAUACUAAGUUGUUUAAAAUAAGUUCUAGAUUAGAACUUCCUUAGGUUAAUCGUGUAAAGUUUGUAAA